rnacentral:rRNA from 1 species
AAAUUGAAGAGUUUGAUCAUGGCUCAGAUUGAACGCUGGCGGCAGGCCUAACACAUGCAAGUCGAGCGGUAGCACAGAGAGCUUGCUCUCGGGUGACGAGCGGCGGACGGGUGAGUAAUGUCUGGGAAACUGCCUGAUGGAGGGGGAUAACUACUGGAAACGGUAGCUAAUACCGCAUAACGUCGCAAGACCAAAGUGGGGGACCUUCGGGCCUCAUGCCAUCAGAUGUGCCCAGAUGGGAUUAGCUAGUAGGUGGGGUAACGGCUCACCUAGGCGACGAUCCCUAGCUGGUCUGAGAGGAUGACCAGCCACACUGGAACUGAGACACGGUCCAGACUCCUACGGGAGGCAGCAGUGGGGAAUAUUGCACAAUGGGCGCAAGCCUGAUGCAGCCAUGCCGCGUGUGUGAAGAAGGCCUUCGGGUUGUAAAGCACUUUCAGCGGGGAGGAAGGCGAUAAGGUUAAUAACCUUGUCGAUUGACGUUACCCGCAGAAGAAGCACCGGCUAACUCCGUGCCAGCAGCCGCGGUAAUACGGAGGGUGCAAGCGUUAAUCGGAAUUACUGGGCGUAAAGCGCACGCAGGCGGUCUGUCAAGUCGGAUGUGAAAUCCCCGGGCUUAACCUGGGAACUGCAUUCGAAACUGGCAGGCUAGAGUCUUGUAGAGGGGGUAGAAUUCCAGGUGUAGCGGUGAAAUGCGUAGAGAUCUGGAGGAAUACCGGUGGCGAAGGCGGCCCCCUGGACAAAGACUGACGCUCAGGUGCGAAAGCGUGGGGAGCAAACAGGAUUAGAUACCCUGGUAGUCCACGCCGUAAACGAUGUCGAUUUGGAGGUUGUGCCCUUGAGGCGUGGCUUCCGGAGCUAACGCGUUAAAUCGACCGCCUGGGGAGUACGGCCGCAAGGUUAAAACUCAAAUGAAUUGACGGGGGCCCGCACAAGCGGUGGAGCAUGUGGUUUAAUUCGAUGCAACGCGAAGAACCUUACCUGGUCUUGACAUCCACAGAACUUUCCAGAGAUGGAUUGGUGCCUUCGGGAACUGUGAGACAGGUGCUGCAUGGCUGUCGUCAGCUCGUGUUGUGAAAUGUUGGGUUAAGUCCCGCAACGAGCGCAACCCUUAUCCUUUGUUGCCAGCGGUUCGGCCGGGAACUCAAAGGAGACUGCCAGUGAUAAACUGGAGGAAGGUGGGGAUGACGUCAAGUCAUCAUGGCCCUUACGACCAGGGCUACACACGUGCUACAAUGGCAUAUACAAAGAGAAGCGACCUCGCGAGAGCAAGCGGACCUCAUUAAGUAUGUCGUAGUCCGGAUUGGAGUCUGCAACUCGACUCCAUGAAGUCGGAAUCGCUAGUAAUCGUAGAUCAGAAUGCUACGGUGAAUACGUUCCCGGGCCUUGUACACACCGCCCGUCACACCAUGGGAGUGGGUUGCAAAAGAAGUAGGUAGCUUAACCUUCGGGAGGGCGCUUACCACUUUGUGAUUCAUGACUGGGGUGAAGUCGUAACAAGGUAACCGUAGGGGAACCUGCGGUUGGAUCACCUCCUUACCUUAAAGAA